rnacentral:lncRNA from 10 species
UUAUGACAGGGCUGACUUCCAAAUGUGGGGACAAAAGACUCUGGUCUUGGCAGACCAAAUCUGGCUUAUUCCGGCUGUCUCUUUCCAGAGACCCUGGGACUGACCCAGCUCUAGGCCCCGAUGUCCGAGGACAGAGGUCGAGAUGUGCUGCCAACCCUCAUGUCCCCAGGCAGCCUCUUUAUAGGAAACUUUUUAUACACAGCGGAACAGACUGGGUAUGGUGG